GACGAGUAACCUUAAGUUGCAGUUGCAGAGGACACAAGAGUCAAACUCUAAUUUGAUUCUUGCUGUGAGGGAUCUCAAUGAGAUGUUGGAGCAGAAGAACAAUGAGAUAUCUUCUCUGAAUAGCUUAUUAGAGGAGGCUAAGAAGCUUGAAGAGCAUAAAGGAAUGGAUUCUGGAAACAAUGAGAUAGAUACGCUAAAGCAACAGAUCGAAGAUUUAGAUUGGGAGUUAGACUCUUACAAGAAAAAGAACGAAGAACAAGAGAUACUAUUAGAUGAGCUUACUCAGGAAUAUGAGUCCUUGAAAGAGGAAAAUUACAAAAACGUUUCCUCAAAAUUAGAGCAGCAAGAAUGCUCAAAUGCAGAAGACGAAUACUUGGAUUCCAAGGAUAUUAUAGACGAAUUGAAAUCUCAGAUAGAGAUAUUGGAAGGCAAACUGAAGCAGCAAUCGUUGGAGUAUUCUGAGUGCUUGAUUACAGUUAAUGAACUUGAGAGUCAGGUGAAAGAGUUAAAGAAAGAACUGGAGGAUCAGGCACAGGCUUAUGAUGAAGAUAUCGACACAAUGAUGCGGGAAAAAACUGAACAAGAGCAAAGAGCCAUCAAAGCAGAGGAGAACCUGAGGAAAACAAGAUGGAAUAACGCUAUAACUGCAGAGCGGCUUCAAGAGAAAUGCAAGAGGCUUUCUCUAGAAAUGGAAUCGAAGCUGAGCGAGCAUGAGAAUCUGACGAAAAAAACAUUGGCUGAAGCCAACAACCUUCGUCUGCAAAACAAAACUCUUGAGGAAAUGCAAGAGAAAACACAUACCGAGAUUACACAAGAGAAAGAACAAAGGAAGCACGUGGAAGAGAAGAACAAAGCUUUGUCAAUGAAAGUCCAGAUGCUUGAAAGUGAGGUCCUGAAGCUCACAAAGCUGAGAGAUGAGUCGAGUGCAGCAGCUACUGAAACCGAGAAGAUAAUACAAGAGUGGAGGAAAGAAAGAGAUGAAUUUGAGAGAAAACUUUCUUUGGCUAAAGAAGUAGCCAAGACAGCGCAGAAAGAGUUAACUCUCACUAAGUCGUCAAAUGAUGAUAAAGAGACAAGGCUCAGGAAUUUGAAGACAGAAGUAGAAGGUCUAAGCCUACAGUACAGUGAAUUACAAAACAGCUUCGUUCAAGAAAAAAUGGAGAAUGAUGAACUGAGAAAACAAGUAUCAAACCUGAAAGUCGAUAUUCGGAGAAAAGAAGAAGAAAUGACUAAAAUCCUAGAUGCAAGGUAUGUGGACAAUAAACUAACUAAACUGGAAUGUUAUUUGCGUUAUGAAUAUUUGACUUAAUUAUGAUCUAACACGGAAAGUAAACAGGAUGGAAGCAAGGUCACAAGAAAACGGACACAAAGAGGAGAAUCUAUCAAAGCUAUCAGACGAAUUGGCGUAUUGUAAGAACAAAAACAGUUCAAUGGAGAGAGAGUUGAAAGAAAUGGAAGAGAGAUAUUCAGAGAUAAGCCUGAGAUUUGCAGAGGUAGAAGGAGAAAGACAACAACUUGUGAUGGCUGUCAGAAACCUCAAGAACGGUAAGAAGUUCUAGUAUUUGUAUGUCGCUGCGAAUACAGGUGUUGUCAGAUCAUAGUAGAAAUCACUAUAUAACUUGUACUGUUAAUAGAAUUCGUUUCUCUCAUAAAACAUUAUUUUAAACUUAUCAAGAAAUCAAUAUUUUCCACUGAAAUAAGUAACGCUUACAUAAGAUUUUGAGAUGCCCACUUCCAAAAUCUGAUCAUAUCCACUGAUUGGUUUUUGGUUAGUUUCCAAUUGCUACGCCGUGUUUGUUUCUUUACUUCCAUACAAGUUUUGUUUGGCCAGUUCCAUUCGCUGUGUAAGAUAGAGACUGGAAUGAAAAAAAAAAGAUGUUAAAGAAAUCAACGGUAUGAACAAAUCUCACUUCUAUAGGGAUCAUAUAUAAUGAAUACCUGUUUUGCUCGCUUAUCAAUUGGUGUGCAUGACUUAAGAGGCGAGUAAAAUCUCUCGUUUUUUGGUGAGGCUGAAGAAUUCUUUGACCGCUUCUGCCUCUUCUCUUCUUGAAGUUUGUUGCCUCCUUUAUACUUGAAAAACUCGAGUAUGGAUGGACUCUUUCUCUUGGUAUUAGCUUUCUUUAUGUUCCCUGGAGUCUCCAAACUAGGUGGAGAAGCAUAAGAAGGAAGAGAUUGUUGUUGUUUCCUUGCUCUGCUUCUUUCUCGAACUCUGUUAAGGAAAUCAACCGUCCAAGGAGAACUUUGUACUUGAUUUGAAGAACGGAUUGCGUUUGAUAGUGGAGAUCCACCAAAAUGUGAUAUUUCUUCUCUAAAUGGAAGCUCUGUUGUUGGAACUGCAGAUCUUCGUGUUAAGACCUCCUCCAAAAGGGUCCUUUGGCGUUUUGCUGGAUAGUUAUCAGCAUAGCCACGCAAAGAAGUGUUGUUAUCAUAUUUUGAAUCUUUCUCAGUGGCGUAUCUUUCAGAACUCGAGUCGAUGUCAGCCGCCUUUGGGAAGUUAGGCUGGAGAGAUCCAAAGAAAGAUAACUUCCUUGAAGAUUUUGAUUUUCUUGGAAGUUCCUCUUCAUUAACAUCAGAAACUAUUCGAGCAAACCUAUUAUAACCAGGAGAAGGCGGGAAGUCUUCCUCGAGAUACUUAUCAGCUCUGUCAAUUACUUCACCUUUGUAGUCUGCGAUGAAAUUCUCCGAGUUCCUAUUGUCAUGCAAGUUAAAAUCUCUCAUCACCGGAAAUUUACAUCCUCUGUUCUGGCUCAUGAAUUUGUCUUUAACUGGGAAACUCCAAUCUUCUAAUUCAGGAAUUCCAGGAAGACUGUCCUCCACUGAAAAAUCAGGCUGAUCUUUCUCCCAAAAUGUGUCCUUUGAUGAUGAACCAGGUCCUGACUUCUUGUCAAAUCUCUCAGGAUCUUUAGACGGCCAAGAGUCAUUGGGAUGACUGAUCCCAGAAGGUUUGAAAGGUGCAUCUGAGAAUUCAGUGACAGGGUCAAAAUGAAAGAUCUCAUGAUCUUUCGAUGACCAAGAAUCAUCAAGUUGGAAAUCCCCAGAAGACUUGAGCUGUGUAUCAGCAAAUUCUAUCGAGGGAGAAAAAUGCACCAAGUCGUCCAUAUCUAUCUCAUCUUUCUCAGCAAUGUACUGUUUCUUUUUUGAGCCAGAAUGGACACUGACAUGGUGUGUGUCUGAGUCAGGUCCAGAAGAUACCGAAGAAGAGCUGUCUGUCAUUACAGAUCUGGAGUCCUCCCUUGCUCCGUAUCUGCAUACUGAACUGAAUAGAUCAACACUCUCUUCAGGUACAUGAUACUUUUGCGUCCUUUCAACCUUGCUUUUAUGUGGGAGCUUCAUGAAUUCGAGAAGUGACCCAGAAGAUGACAGAAUUACUUGAGCUGUGAGUGGAUUCACGGAAGGAAACUUGGUGAGAAAUGAUUCUGCUAGAGAUUCUGACUCGGGCAUUUUGACAUGGAGUUUGGACAACUUAACAGAAGAUUUGAUACACUUCAAUAUAAUUUCAUCCGUGAGAUUAGCUGACGAUGAGCAAAACAUCUGUAAACUGAUUCCUAGGCUACCAGCUGCUGCAUACAGUUCAUCAGAGGAGUCCAUUACGGCAGCCAGGAAGGCGGGUUCCCCCUCAAAAACCUGUACGAAAAAUAACAAUCGUUCUUUAAGUUCUCUGGACUCAGUCUACAGUUUAGAAGAAAAUGUUGCAGAGACUUUAGUAUAUGAGUGAGUAUUAAACAUCUAGUAAGUUUGUAAUCAUCAAAUUAGCAAAAAUAAUAGAAGAUGAUUCUUAAAGUGAAAGGUCCACAUAUAUACUGCAACGUUCCCACAAAAGAACGGCAAAAAGCAAAGUUUGGUGGAAUUUACCAUAAUGCAAGUGCUGAAACUGAAACUCAAUGACGUCAAAACAUUAGUUGCGAUAUCUCCAAUCCAUGAAAGUGAACUUGAGGAAGUACCAAUAGUUGCAGCCGACUUCUUACUAACAGUUUCACUAUCAUACCAGAGUAGGCAAACUGCAGGACUUAACAUCAGGUCCACAGGUAGAUCUGAAUCGCGCUCCACAACUUGCACUCCUUCUUUUUCCAUUGCUAACACCUUCUGGUAUGUACUUCUUCUGGAUAUGAUCAUCUCCUUAUCGACAGUUUUUGUGUUCACAACAAUCACAGAUCUUUGGUCAGAGAGACCCUGUUCAAUUAUCCCACGUUUUCUUUCAGAUUCUUGAGGCAUGGAGAUAAAUUCAGAUUCAUUUGUGGUUUCGGAAGAUCCUGCAUAACACACUUUUUCAAGUGGAACAAAGUUCAACACUUCUUCCAACCACCCAGUUUUCGUCUCAACUUCGUCUCCCUACAAAAGAGAUAAUAGUGUACAUAGGUUCUCGUAUCUGCAUAUUCUGGAACAUAUUCAAACAAAGCGUUCAAAAUAUGCAGUUAUGGAAUAAACGUGAAUACCACUGAUGUGACAACACAAUUUUAGGUUAAAGUACAUACUAAUGUUAAACUUGCAUAAUUUUCAGUGUUGCAAAACCAAUCAAGAUCAUAUGCUCAUGAAAGUACUAUUUGUGAUACAGAUUGAUCUACUGCUCUGAAUUUGAACCCUUCACACAGACUCUUCCAUCGUAAUAUACAAUCUACCAAUAUAACUUGUAAGAAAAGGUUGAAUGUUUCUCACCUUUAUCAUUUUGAGACUAUAAGGUACUGUAACACCUGCACAGAGUUGCCCGCAUGCACUGGGCAUAUCCAGCUCCACUUUUAUGAAAUGAAAGGAAGGAAAGGAAUCCAACUUUGAAGGAAAAGAAUAUCUGGGCGAGGCAUUUGGACCUCCAUAUUCUACAAUGACGCUGAAAUUCUCCACAGGAAAAGAUGGAGAAAUUUGCCUUAGAUGAAAAAGAAAGGACUAGUUAGCUUAACUACUCCCAAAAGACAAUUUCACUAAAAGAUAUUGAACAAAGAAUCGAUAAAGCUAUGUUUUAGCAUGCAAAGAACAAUAAUGCAGCAAUUUCACGAGCAGAGAAGUAACAACAUUUUGUGGUAUCUCUUACAAUCACCAUGCUAAAAGACUGAAAAUGCUUUUCAGGCCGCAAUAUAUCAAUUCUUUGGUUCCCUUUCUAGUUCCCAAAAAAUUCAACUGUGAAAAGCUAUGAUCAUUGAUAAUGAGGAUAUGGCUAUAGGAAGAAAUAAUACUCACUCGUAAGAGAUAAUUAGACAGUCUGAAAUCGGCAGGAAACCAAGUUCUAUGGCUUCAUGAACAUUUGGUCGAUUUCCACUUGGGGAGGGACUGUUGAGGUCAUUGUAAGAUAACCCCAUGGACAUCAGUAGCCUCUUCAGCGAGGACCAAAACACUUUCUCAGCCAAAAGUAAUGCUUUGGAGUUCCCCCGGGCAAAUUCUGACUGUAAAAUCCCCUGGAUAACAGCUAGUGAUGGAUGUGAUCUUGUGAUGUCUGUCUCAUCUGAUUUGUGUUCUGUUUCAACUGCUGAGUAGAGGGUGUGCAAUCCUAUCUUCAUGGGAUUUGAGCUUCGACAUACCUUGUUAAGAUAGAUAUAUGCCACAUGGAUACCGAAGAAACACAUAUACCAUGUCAUCUGUUUAAUUGCUAAUAGUAAUGCAAACGUGAAAGUCUUAUCAUCCGCCAACUGUGUUUUGUGGACAUUUGCCUUUCUUAUGCAGUCAAUAAGCUUUCCUUUAGAUAUGCUGAGUAACUUAAGUUUAUCUUCUGAUAAAUUCUCUGAUUCAUCCUUCACAAGAGUUAAAUAGCUCUUCACAAAUUCCCCAACAAGAGCCUGAAUAUUUUCUGAAGGGCGCACACUGUGAAGUAUCAUUUCCUCUGUCUUCGGGUUUGGGUGCAUACCACCAGAUCUACAUGAAGCCUUCGAGUCAAUAGACAUACAUUUAUGGUUGGUAGUCUUAGCAGCUUCGACUCUAGACUCGAGAUUAUCUUCAAUCACAGCCUUCUUCGGAUCCAUGAAAAAGGUUAAGUCAUCAAAAGCAGACAUUGAUUUGAACAACAGCGUAGCCUUCUUAGCAUUAUCAUCCACUGCACAAUCCCUUGCUCCUGUUUUUUGGAAAGGGUUUUCCAAUAACCCAUGCGAAGUAUUAACAGGAGCAUGCUCAUCAAGGUUAGAUAUACCAUAGAAAGGUUCAGUGCAUUUCUCUACAAGUGGCUCGCAGAAAGCAUCUUCAGAGAAAAUGAAAUCAUAAACCCAUUUGUCUCCUUCUGAAGCUUCCCAGUUAUAAUCAAUGUUGAAUGUAACUAUUUCUUCAAACGGAUAAUCACAAUGGUUGUGGUUUCUUUCCUCAAGAAGGUUCCACGGCAAGUAUAUGUCAUUUGAGGCAGACAAGGAUUGAGGCUUGAUCUUUGACAAAACAUCCUCAUAAAUGAGCUCCAGAGAUCUUGUCAUCUCAUAAUCAUGUAAAAUAGGAGUAGGCAAAGACUUGAAGGCAUCAUCUGUGAAGGCAAGUUCGGAACUGACAACUAAUUCAUCGAAAUCCUUGAAGUUCAUCUCUUUACUGAACAUACCGUAACAGAUUUCUGGUUCAAUGGCUUUUUGAAGACAAAGGAAGAUAUCAAAAACAUCAGAGAUAUCCACAUCCAGGAUCUGGAAUUCCUCAUAAGUUACUGGUACAGCCACCUUUCCCUGAAAUUCCUCAGCAUUUGAUAUUUCCAGGAUAGUCACUAUAUCCAUUUCAGAAAAUUCAUCCUCUGGUACCACAUCAGAUUGGCCACUCUUGUUCAAAUAGCAAUCCGUAGAGAGUACAUCCAAUAGAUCAUAAUCCUUUGAGCCUAUAAGCUCCUUAGAAUUGAUAAUGAGAGAACUCCCUGCAUUAGUGUCUUGGGGUUCAAUCGUCUCAAGAACAGUAAAUACUUUAUCAAGCACAGAUAAGCUUGAUAGUUCGCUCAAGUUUACUUCAUCCACUUCUAGAAGGGGAAAUCUGGCAUCUUUGAACCAUGGUUGAAUCUUGCGGAAGCAUUCAUUUUCUGCUACAGAAGUGUUGUUCUCUGUAAAGUAAUCAGAAGGAAUGUAAUCAACAGAAUAAAUCUGCUCUUGAAUGUCCUUUGAGUUCUGCAGGAUAAUAUCUGACCCCUCAUAUUUAACCUGCAAUAAGAAGACUAGCUAAAAUCAGAUGAUGCCAAGAACAGGAACCAGCUCUACCACUCUACAGCAAAAGCAAAAACUACUGUUGUGUGUGCCAACUAAAAUCAACUCAGGGAUUUACCGGGUCAUUUUUGAUCUCUAGAACUUCAGAGAAACAUUGGAGAUGAUCCUCACUCGUGCAUAAGAGCUUGUUCUCCUGUAUAUCAAAAGAUGCUUUAUCUCGCAAUGAAAAAGAAAAAGCUGAACUAGUUCAAUUAGUACAAUGCUUACACAGCUUGAGCAAUACCAUCUCAAAAUCCAACUCUGGAGUCUCCAACUCAAUAAUUUUAGGUGUAGCUUUAUCCGCAAUGGCAUCUCCGUCAUCCUUCUGCAAAUAGAUCAUAACUUCGGUUUUCAAACUCCGGUAAGAUUCGCUUAAGCUACCAAAAUUUCCAACCCAAGUAUGAAUAUAAGAUCUAAGCAACAAUCAGAAAUGGAAACUGAGAAAACACACCACAAAUUUCGAAAAAUCUACAACCAAUCUCACUAUAAGAAACAAAGGACCGUUGACAGAAACAGUCAGCGAGACUCAGGAAAUUCGAAAUUUCACCUCCAGGAACUGAUAAUAUCUAGAUCGAAGGAACUUUACCUCGUCUGAGUAAUAAACUCCGAGCGAAGAGUCGUCGAUUUCAAAAACUCGAUAGUCCACACUGACGCGGUCGGGAACCACGUCGGAAAGGAACUUCGACAAAGCAGCUUCAAUAGGCAAAUUUCCGAUAGGGAUACUAACAUUUUCGAUCGAGCCAAAUCGGAGACGGUCUUCUUCUCCGUUGUAGACGAUGGGUGCCGGGAAAUUAUCAGGAGCCGGAAGAUUGAGGAAGCCUAGGGUUUCAAAUACGUGAGAAGGUGGAGUAGAGAAGUAAUCGAUGUUGAGAAAUCGAGUUCGCAUCGUAAUUUUCUAGAUCCGUCUUGGGAGCUCAGACUGUAUCAGUGAUGAUGAUGAUGAUGAAGAAGAGAACGAAUUUUGAAAUUGGCGGUUUUGAAUUUUUAAGAAAUUAAAAAAUAUCCCCCGUCGAUUUCAAGAGGGAGAUGGAGAUACCAAAGCAACUCUCGCCACUUGUCGUCUUUUAAUUUUAAUUGAGUACGUUAUGCCGUUUUAAAUGUUCAAAACAGCACACAGUUGAUAGCUGAAUUGAUUUUUUCUUUUGCCGUUUUGUUAUAUUUAAACAACACACAGUGCAUUUGCCAAAUAACUACAUGAUGGGCCAAUAAACGUGGACCGACUAAAACUAAAUAAUAGAAGAUACAUCGAUAGGCUUCUCUAAAGAUCGGAUAAAAGAUAAUGUCGCAUAGCCACGUAGAGAGCAACUGGCUGAGACGUGGCAGGACGAAACGGACGCAUCGUACGUGUCAGAAUCCUACAGAAGUAAAGAGACAGAAGCCAGAGAGAGGUGGUUCGGCCAUAUGUCAUCGUUCUCUCUAUAAACUUUAUGGAACUUUGUUCUGAUUUUCUCAGAGACACGAAAAGAAAGAAAACAACACUAGAACAAAGAGGGUUUGAUUGAUUCACUUGAAAAAGAGAAAACACAGCUUUGGAAAAUGGAGUCACAGUUGACACGUCCUUAUGGUCAUGAGCAAGCAGAAGAACCAAUCAGAAUUCACCAUCCAGGUAUAUAUAUAUCUAUGACAGAAGAUUCUAAUUUGAGAACUUUUCUCUUAAUUUGCCUUAUUUAUUGUGAUUCGGAUACAGAAGAAGAAGAGCAUCAUGAGAAGGGAGCAUCCAAAGUGUUGAAGAAAGUAAAAGAAAAGGCUAAGAAAAUCAAGAACAGUCUCACUAAACAUGGAAAUGGUCAUGAUCACGAUGUGGAAGAUGAUGAUGAUGAGUAUGACGAGCAAGACCCAGAAGUUCACGGCGCACCAGGUUAAUUUCUCUGUAUUAAAGUCCUCGUCAAUCAGCAGUUAUAUUUUUUUGUGUAUUAACGGUUUUUCUGUUUUUUUAUGUGUAUGCACAGUGUAUGAAUCCUCUGCCGUGAGAGGUGGUGUAACGGGUAAACCUAAGUCUCUUAGUCAUGCCGGAGAAACUAAUGUUCCGGCAUCGGAGGAGAUUGUUCCUCCAGGGACAAAAGUUUUUCCUGUCGUGUCUUCUGACCACACCAAACCCAUUGAGCCUGUAUCAUUACAAGAUACCUCUUACGGACAUGAGGCACUGGCUGAUCCUGUAAGAACGACGGAAACAUCGGACUGGGAAGCGAAAAGAGAGGCACCGACUCAUUAUCCUCUCGGAGUGUCAGAAUUUUCAGACAGAGGAGAGAGCAGAGAGGCUCAUCAAGAGCCAUUGAACACUCCUGUGUCUCUGCUUUCAGCAACAGAGGACGUGACUAGGACGUUUGCUCCUGGUGGUGAAGAUGACUAUCUCGGUGGUCAACGGAAAGUCAACGUCGAGACGCCAAAACGUUUGGAGGAAGAUCCGGCUGCUCCAGGAGGAGGAUCGGAUUAUCUCAGUGGUGUAUCUAAUUAUCAGUCCAAAGUUACUGAUCCCACGCAUAAAGGUAAUGACUUUGGCCGAGACUUUUUUUAGGGUUUAUGAAUCUGUAAUAACUCUUGUCUGUUCUGUUUAAGGUGGAGAAGCUGGAGUACCAGAGAUUGCUGAGUCUCUUGGUAGAAUGAAAGUGACUGAUGAGUCUCCUGAUCAGAAAUCAAGACAAGGACGCGAAGAAGACUUUCCGACGAGAAGCCAUGAGUUUGAUCUGAAGAAGGAAUCUGAUAUCAACAAGAAUUCUCCGGCAAGAUUUGGAGGGGAAUCAAAAGCUGGGAUGGAGGAAGAUUUUCCGACAAGAGGUGAUGUGAAAGUAGAGAGUGGAUUGGGAAGAGACUUACCGACGGGAACUCAUGAUCAGUUCUCACCAGAACUAUCUCGUCCCAAAGAGAGAGAUGAUUCUGAGGAAACCAAAGAUGAGUCGACACAUGAGACAAAACCAAGCACCUACACAGAGCAGUUAGCUUCAGCUACAUCAGCCAUAACUAACAAAGCUAUAGCCGCAAAGAACGUCGUUGCCUCAAAGCUAGGUUACACCGGAGAGAAUGGCGGCGGGCAAAGCGAGAGCCCUGUAAAAGAUGAAACUCCGAGAUCUGUUACUGCUUACGGGCAGAAAGUGGCGGGAACUGUUGCUGAGAAGUUGACUCCGGUUUACGAAAAAGUCAAAGAAACAGGAUCAACGGUGAUGACAAAGCUACCUCUCUCCGGAGGUGGAAGUGGAGUGAAGGAGACGCAACAAGGGGAAGAGAAAGGUGUGACGGCUAAAAAUUAUAUAUCAGAGAAGCUGAAACCUGGAGAAGAGGACAAAGCUUUAUCGGAAAUGAUAGCUGAGAAACUUCAUUUUGGAGGAGGAGGAGAGAAGAAGACAACGGCUACAAAGGAGGUGGAAGUGACGGUUGAGAAGAUACCUUCCGACCAGAUAGCGGAGGGGAAAGGACAUGGUGAGGCGGUUGCAGAGGAAGGAAAAGGUGGAGAAGGAAUGGUGGGGAAAGUUAAAGGAGCGGUCACUUCUUGGCUCGGUGGUAAACCGAAGUCGCCACGGUCCGUUGAAGAGUCUCCACAAUCACUUGGCACCACCGUUGGUAAAACUCCCUCGUCCUUGUGUUACACGUAAUGUUAAGAUUUUGAUGUGUGUAUUAUUUUUGUAAUUUUACUCAAAAUGUUUUGGUUGCUAUGGUAGGGACUAUGGGGUUUUCGGAUUCCGGUGGAAGUGAGUUGGGAGGCAGUGGCGGAGGUAAGGGAGUUCAAGAUUCUGGGAACUGAAGAUUUGGGGUUUUGCUUUUGAAUGUUUGUGUUUUUGUAUGAUGCCUCUGUUUGUGAACUUUGAUGUAUUUUAUCUUUGUGUGAAAAAGAGAUUGGGUUAAUAAAAUAUUUGCUUUUUUGGAUAAGAAACUCUUUUAGCGGCCCAUUAAUAAAGGUUACAAAUGCAAAAUCAUGUUAGCGUCAGAUAUUUAAUUAUUCGAAGAUGAUUGUGAUAGAUUUAAAAUUAUCCUAGUCAAAAAGAAAGAGUAGGUUGAGCAGAAACAGUGACAUCUGUUGUUUGUACCAUACAAAUUAGUUUAGAUUAUUGGUUAACAUGUUAAAUGGCUAUGCAUGUGACAUUUAGACCUUAUCGGAAUUAAUUUGUAGAAUUAUUAAUUAAGAUGUUGAUUAGUUCAAACAAAAAUUUUAUAUUAAAAAAUGUAAACGAAUAUUUUGUAUGUUCAGUGAAAGUAAAACAAAUUAAAUUAACAAGAAACUUAUAGAAGAAAAUUUUUACUAUUUAAGAGAAAGAAAAAAAUCUAUCAUUUAAUCUGAGUCCUAAAAACUGUUAUACUUAACAGUUAACGCAUGAUUUGAUGGAGGAGCCAUAGAUGCAAUUCAAUCAAACUGAAAUUUCUGCAAGAAUCUCAAACACGGAGAUCUCAAAGUUUGAAAGAAAAUUUAUUUCUUCGACUCAAAACAAACUUACGAAAUUUAGGUAGAACUUAUAUACAUUAUAUUGUAAUUUUUUGUAACAAAAUGUUUUUAUUAUUAUUAUAGAAUUUUACUGGUUAAAUUAAAAAUGAAUAGAAAAGGUGAAUUAAGAGGAGAGAGGAGGUAAACAUUUUCUUCUAUUUUUUCAUAUUUUCAGGAUAAAUUAUUGUAAAAGUUUACAAGAUUUCCAUUUGACUAGUGUAAAUGAGGAAUAUUCUCUAGUAAGAUCAUUAUUUCAUCUACUUCUUUUAUCUUCUACCAGUAGAGGAAUAAACAAUAUUUAGCUCCUUUGUAAAUACAAAUUAAUUUUCGUUCUUGACAUCAUUCAAUUUUAAUUUUACGUAUAAAAUAAAAGAUCAUACCUAUUAGAACGAUUAAGGAGAAAUACAAUUCGAAUGAGAAGGAUGUGCCGUUUGUUAUAAUAAACAGCCACACGACGUAAACGUAAAAUGACCACAUGAUGGGCCAAUAGACAUGGACCGACUACUAAUAAUAGUAAGUUACAUUUUAGGAUGGAAUAAAUAUCAUACCGACAUCAGUUUGAAAGAAAAGGGAAAAAAAGAAAAAAUAAAUAAAAGAUAUACUACCGACAUGAGUUCCAAAAAGCAAAAAAAAAGAUCAAGCCGACACAGACACGCGUAGAGAGCAAAAUGACUUUGACGUCACACCACGAAAACAGACGCUUCAUACGUGUCCCUUUAUCUCUCUCAGUCUCUCUAUAAACUUAGUGAGACCCUCCUCUGUUUUACUCACAAAUAUGCAAACUAGAAAACAAUCAUCAGGAAUAAAGGGUUUGAUUACUUCUAUUGGAAAGAAAAAAAUCUUUGGAAAAUGGAUCAAACAGAGGAACCACCACUCAACACACACCAGCAGCACCCAGGUAGAUUCUAAUUUCAGAAACUUAUAUUUUUUUUAAGUGACAAUCCUCUGAAUUUACUUAAACUUAUUGUGAUUUAUGGAUACAGAAGAAGUUGAACAUCAUGAGAAUGGUGCGACUAAGAUGUUUAGGAAAGUAAAGGCUAGAGCUAAGAAGUUCAAGAACAGUCUCACUAAACAUGGACAAAGCAAUGAGCAUGAGCAAGAUCAUGAUUUGGUUGAAGAAGAUGAUGAUGAUGACGAGCUAGAACCUGAAGUGAUCGAUGCACCAGGUUACUUUCUUUUGUAGUUUCAUUCAACUUAUGAUCUAAAAACUAUUGGUUAUUCAAUUUUGCGUGACAUUAACGGUUUGGUAUCUGUAUAUGCAGGCGUAACAGGUAAACCUAGAGAAACUAAUGUUCCAGCAUCGGAGGAAAUUAUUCCACCAGGGACAAAGGUGUUUCCUGUCGUGUCUUCCGAUUACACCAAACCCACUGAAUCUGUACCAGUACAAGAGGCCUCUUACGGACACGAUGCACCGGCUCAUUCUGUAAGGACGACGUUUACAUCGGACAAGGAAGAGAAAAGAGAUGUACCGAUUCAUCAUCCUCUGUCCGAAUUGUCAGACAGAGAAGAGAGUAGAGAGACUCAUCAUGAGUCAUUGAACACUCCGGUCUCUCUGCUUUCUGGAACAGAGGAUGUAACGAGUACGUUUGCUCCAAGUGGUGAUGAUGAAUAUCUUGAUGGUCAACGGAAGGUCAACGUCGAGACCCCGAUAACGUUGGAGGAAGAGUCGGCUGUUUCAGACUAUCUUAGUGGUGUAUCUAAUUAUCAGUCCAAAGUUACUGAUCCCACCAAAGAAGGUAAGAACUUUGACCUUUUAAGAUUGUGUUUUUCUUUAGUGAUUAUGAAUAUGUAAUAACUCUGUUACGUUGUGUUUGGUUUAGAAACUGGAGGAGUACCGGAGAUUGCUGAGUCUUUUGGUAAUAUGGAAGUGACUGAUGAGUCUCCUGAUCAGAAGCCAGGACAAUUUGAAAGAGACUUGUCGACGAGAAGCAAAGAAUUCAAAGAGUUUGAUCAGGACUUUGACUCUGUUCUCGGUAAGGAUUCGCCGGCGAAAUUUCCAGGUGAAUCAGGAGUUGUUUUCCCGGUGGGCUUUGGUGACGAGUCAGGAGCUGAGCUGGAAAAAGAUUUUCCGACGAGAAGUCAUGAUUUUGAUAUGAAGACUGAAACUGGAAUGGACACGAAUUCUCCAUCAAGAAGCCAUGAAUUUGAUCUGAAGACUGAAUCUGGAAACGACAAGAAUUCUCCGAUGGGCUUUGGUAGUGAAUCAGGAGCUGAGCUGGAAAAAGAAUUUGAUCAGAAGAACGAUUCUGGAAGAAACGAGUAUUCGCCGGAAUCUGACGGCGGUUUAGGAGCUCCGUUGGGAGGAAAUUUUCCGGUGAGAAGUCAUGAGUUGGAUCUGAAGAACGAAUCUGAUAUCGACAAGGAUGUGCCGACGGGAUUUGACGGAGAACCAGAUUUUCUGGCGAAGGGAAGACCUGGAUACGGUGAGGCAUCAGAAGAGGAUAAAUUUCCGGCGAGAAGUGAUGAUGUGGAAGUAGAGACUGAGCUGGGAAGAGACCCAAAGACGGAGACUCUUGAUCAAUUCUCACCGGAACUUUCUCAUCCUAAAGAAAGAGAUGAGUUUAAGGAGUCCAGAGAUGAUUUUGAGGAGACGAGAGAUGAGAAAACAGAGGAGCCAAAACAGAGCACUUACACAGAGAAGUUUGCUUCAAUGCUAGGUUACUCCGGAGAAAUUCCGGUGGGAGAUCAAA
rnacentral:lncRNA from 1 species